ACACAUCUCCUACAACAGAAAAACCAAAGCCUCCACAGAAAUACCUUUUUGAAACCCAAACCUAGGAAGCAGGUGAACUUAUUCUACUUUUACAGAGAAGGAAAAUCUCACACAGAGAAGAGAAAGAGACAAUAAAACAGACUAAAGAAUAAUGGCGGGU